UACGGAGGGGGCUAGCGUUAUUCGGAAUUACUGGGCGUAAAGCGCACGUAGGCGGACUGGAAAGUUGGGGGUGAAAGCCCAGGGCUCAACCCUGGAACUGCCCUCAAAACUCCCAGUCUUGAGAUCGUGAGAGGUGAGUGGAAUUCCGAGUGUAGAGGUGAAAUUCGUAGAUAUUCGGAGGAACACCAGUGGCGAAGGCGGCUCACUGGCACGAUACUGACGCUGAGGUGCGAAAGCGUGGGGAGCAAACAGG
rnacentral:rRNA from 1 species